ACUCAAAGGAAUUGACGGGGGCUCACACAAGCGGUGGAGCAUGUGGCUUAAUUCGAGGCUACGCGAAGAACCUUAUCCCGGGCUUGACAUGCGCGGAUUAGCCGGCGGAAACGUCGGCGACGCGAAAGUGGAACGCGCACAGGUGCUGCAUGGCUGUCGUCAGCUCGUGCCGUGAGGUGUUGGGUUAAGUCCCGUAACGAGCGAAACCCCUGUCCUUAGUUGCCAGCGCGUCAUGGCGGGCACUCUAAGGAGACCGCCGGCGUCAAGCCGGAGGAAGGCGGGGACGACGUCAAGUCAUCAUGGCCCUUAUGCCCGGGGCUGCACACGUGCUACAAUGGGCCGGACAGAGCGACGCCAAGGCGCGAGCCGGAGCCAAUCGCCCAAACCGGCCCCCAGUUCGGAUCGCGGGCUGCAACCCGCCCGCGUGAAGCCGGAAUCGCUAGUAAUCGGGGAUCAGCACUGCCCCGGUGAAUGGGUUCCUGAGCCUUGUACACACCGCCCGU
rnacentral:rRNA from 1 species